GUUUUAAUAAUUUAUUAUAAAAUAUUGGUCUUGUAAACCAAAAAUAAGAUUGUCUUUUAAAACU
rnacentral:tRNA from 1 species